AACGAACGCUGGCGGCGCGCCUAAUACAUGCAAGUCGAGCGAGAAGACGUAGCAAUACGUUUGUAAAGCGGCGAACGGGUGAGGAAUACAUGGGUAACCUACCCUCGAGUGGGGAAUAACUAGCCGAAAGGUUAGCUAAUACCGCGUACGCUUCUUGGACUUCGGUUCAGGGAGGAAAGCGAUACCGUGGGUAUCGCGCUCUUGGAUGGGCUCAUGUCCUAUCAGCUUGUUGGNGAGGUAACGGCUCACCAAGGCUUCGACGGGUAGCUGGUCUGAGAGGACGAUCAGCCACACUGGCACUGCGACACGGGCCAGACUCCUACGGGAGGCAGCAGUAAGGAAUAUUGCGCAAUGGGCGAAAGCCUGACGCAGCGACGCCGC
rnacentral:rRNA from 1 species